rnacentral:tRNA from 1 species
ACCUGGCUGGCUCAGUCGGUAGAGCAUAUGACUCUUGAUCUCAGGGUUGUGAGUUCAAACACCACGUCGGGCA